rnacentral:rRNA from 1 species
UAUUGGUCAAUGGGCGGGAGCCUGAACCAGCCAAGUCGCGUGAGGGAAGACGGUCCUAUGGAUUGUAAACCUCUUUAGGCGGGGAGCAAUGCCGGGCACGCGUGCCCGGAGGGAGAGUACCCGCAGAAUAAGCAUCGGCUAACUCCGUGCCAGCAGCCGCGGUAAUACGGAGGAUGCGAGCGUUAUCCGGAUUUAUUGGGUUUAAAGGGUGCGUAGGCGGUCCGGAAAGUCAGCGGUAAAAGCCCGGGGCUCAACCCCGGCGAGCCGUUGAAACUGUCGGACUAGAGACGGCGAGAAGUACGCGGAAUGCGCGGUGUAGCGGUGAAAUGCAUAGAUAUCGCGCAGAACUCCGAUUGCGAAGGCAGCGUACCGGCGCCGGCCUGACGCUGAGGCACGAAAGCGUGGGUAUCGAACAGG